UACAACUCUUAUCGAUAAGCCAUUGGAGGGCAAGUCUGGUGCCAGCAGCCGCGGUAAUUCCAGCUCCAAUAGCGUAUAUUAACGUUGUUGCAGUUAAAAAGCUCGUAGUUGAAGUGUGGGUGGUGCUGUCUGAGUAACUUCGGUUAGUCAGAUGAUCACUACCCCCUUCCAGUAUCCAGUAGUGGGUAUUCACUUACUUACUAUUGUGUGUUGGUCGUUUACUGUGAGAAAAUUAGAGUGUUCAAAGCAGGCGUUUGCUUGAAUAGAUUAGCAUGGAAUAAUAAUUGAAGGCUUUCGUGUUCGAUUUGAUUGGUUUGUUCAUGGAAGCAAGGUUAAAAGGAACAGUUGGGGGUAUUCAUAUUCACUAGUUAGAGGUGAAAUUCUCGGAUUUAUGGAAGAUGAAC
rnacentral:rRNA from 1 species